AGAAGAGGAAGUUUGUAGCUGAUGGCAUCUUCAAAGCUGAACUGACUGAGUUUCUCACUCGGGAGCUGACUGAAGAUGGCUACUCUGGAGUUGAAGUCCGAGUUACGCCGACCAGAACAGAAAUCAUUAUUUUAGCCACCAGAACACAGAAUGUUCUUGGGGAGAAGGGUCGUCGGCUCAGAGAGCUGACUGCAGUUGUCCAGAAGCGGUUUGGCUUCCCUGAAGGCAGCGUAGAGCUGUAGGCAGAAAAAGUGGCCACGAGAGGUCUGUGUGCCUUU
rnacentral:lncRNA from 1 species